rnacentral:lncRNA from 1 species
CUACUUUAACAACUGCCUUGAUAACUGCAUUUCUUGAUAACCACAAUGCGUUAUGUUUGUUGAUAUCUUGGGCGACUUGAAGGUUUGGGCGAGAAUAGAAUAACAGCUCUGGGCGACCGUAUGACGCUCCAUUCGUUCAGAUUCUGGGUGACUUGUAAACUUGGGCGAUGGCGUUACCGCACCCUUGGGCCCCUUAUUUGGGCCUUCACCUUGAUUCGUUCGAUUGGACUUCGUUCUUUGGGCUAUCUGAUUUGGGG